rnacentral:rRNA from 1 species
GGCUUAUUGAGGAUAAUAUUAAGUCGAUCUGCCCAAUGAUUUAAAUUUAAUGGCUGCAGUAUAAUUAACUGUACAAAGGUAGCAUAAUCAAUUGUUUUUUAAAUGGAAACUUGGAUGAAAGAAUUAAUGAGAUAUAUACUGUCUCAUAUAUAUUUAAUUAAAUUAAAUAUUUAGUAAAAAUGCUGAAAUUAUUUUAUGGGACGAUAAGACCCUAUAGAAUUUUAUAUUUAUAUUUAAAUUAAAUUUAAUUUUGGAUAUAAAUAUUUGAUUGGGAGGAUUGGUAAAUUAAUUUAACUUUAUUUAAAAUGUAAACUUUGAUUUAAGAAUUAUUUUUUGAUCUUUUAUUAAAAAAAAAAGAAAAAAUUACCUUAGGGAUAACAGCGUAAUAUCUUUUUAAAGAUCAAAUUGAUAAAGAUGAUUGCGACCUCGAUGUUGAAUUAAGAUAAAUUUUAAAUGGAGAAAUUUAAUGAUUAAGUCUGUUCGACUUUUAAAAUCUUACAUGAUUUGAGUUCAAAUCGACGUGAGU